ensembl:snoRNA SNORD15 Small nucleolar RNA SNORD15
CUUCAGUGAUGAUACGAUGACGAGUCGGAAUGGGACAGUCCGUCUCUGGGGUCGCUGAGUCAGGGUCACGUUCUGUGUCUCUGGAUUCAGUUCCCCAGAGCAGCGUGUCUCUUCAGUUGAAGACAUUGAGGCAUUUGUCUGAGAAGG